rnacentral:rRNA from 1 species
CCUACGGGAGGCAGCAGUGGGGAAUAUUGCGCAAUGGGCGAAAGCCUGACGCAGCGACGCCGCGUGAGGGAUGAAGGUCUUCGGAUCGUAAACCUCUGUUAGCAGGGAAGAACGGUCACUGUGCUAAUCAGCAGUGAAUUGACGGUACCUGCAAAGGACGCACCGGCUAACUCCGUGCCAGCAGCCGCGGUAAUACGGAGGGUGCGAGCGUUAAUCGGAAUUACUGGGCGUAAGGCGCGCGUAGGCGGUAUGUCAAGUCAAGGGUGAAAUCCCCGGGCUCAACGUGGGAACUGCCUUUGAAACUGGCAAACUGGAGUGUGUGAGAGGAUAGUGGAAUUCCAGGUGUAGGAGUGAAAGCCGUAGAUAUCUGGAGGAACAUCAGUGGCGAAGGCGACUAUCUGGCACAUAACUGACGCUGAGGAGCGAAAGCGUGGGUAGCAAACAGGAUUAGAUACCCGUGUAGUC